rnacentral:rRNA from 1 species
CGGACUACACAUGCAGUCGAGCGGAUGAAGGGAGCUUGCUCCUGGAUUCAGCGGCGGAGGGUGAGUAAUGCCUAGGAAUCUGCCUGGUAGUGGGGGAUAACGUCCGGAAACGGGCGCUAAUACCGCAUACGUCCUGAGGGAGAAAGUGGGGGAUCUUCGGACCUCACGCUAUCAGAGAGCCUAGGUCGGAUUAGCUAGUUGGUGGGGUAAAGGCCUACCAAGGCGACGAUCCGUACUGGUCUGAGAGGAUGAUCAGUCACACUGGAACUGAGACACGGUCCAGACUCCUACGGGGGCAGCAGUGGGGAAUAUUGGACAAUGGGCGAAAGCCUGAUCCAGCCAUGCCGCGUGUGUGAAGAAGGUCUUCGGAUUGUAAAGCACUUUAAGUUGGGAGGAAGGGCAGUAAGUUAAUACCUUGCUGUUUUGACGUUACCAACAGAAUAAGCACCGGCUAACUUCGUGCCAGCAGCCGCGGUAAUACGAAGGGUGCAAGCGUUAAUCGGAAUUACUGGGCGUAAAGCGCGCGUAGGUUCAGCAAGUUGGAUGUGAAAUCCCCGGGCUCAACCUGGGAACUGCAUCCAAAACUACUGAGCUAGAGUACGGUAGAGGGUGGUGGAAUUUCCUGUGUAGCGGUGAAAUGCGUAGAUAUGGAAGGAACACCAGUGGCGAAGGCGACCACCUGGACUGAUACUGACACUGAGGUGCGAAGCGUGGGGAGCAAACAGGAUUAGAUACCCUGGUAGUCCACGCCGUAAACGAUGUCACUAGCCGUUGGGAUCCUUGAGAUCUUAGUGGCGCAGCUAACGCGAUAAGUCGACCGCCUGGGAGUACGGCCGCAAGGUUAAAACUCAGAGAAAAUUGGCGCGGGGGAA